rnacentral:lncRNA from 1 species
GCUCCCUUCCUCCUCCCCUUGGCUACGACCCCAACACACACACAUAUCCAUCCUUUUCAAUCCAUUACCAAGCAUUCCAAGGUGAUAUUAAGGUGUAAGGAGGCCACUAACGAAGCUCGGUGCAAGCGGAUCUUGAGGGACCUUCUCCAUUUGCUUUUAUCCACCACUUUUACCCUUUGAAACUUCCCUAGUCUUGUGCUAGUAGCUCGUUUUGUCAAGUCUGAUGGUCACGGCGGGUUAAUUAAAGCAAAUCCGGUGAAGUUUACGACGCAAGGAACACAAAGUUGUAACUAAAGGUGGAUGUGCGCGCG